rnacentral:misc_RNA from 1 species
GUUGGAUCCGUUUUAAGGGAGCGAAUUUCGGGGCUCUGAUUGACACUCUGGUCCCUAACCUGCUGCUGCUCCUCUUGGCUCGGUGGUGGCCGUGGUAGCGUUGGCGUUGGCCGGGUGGUUCGUCAAUGGCGGUGCUAACAGCUAAGUGAAAACCAUGGCCAUCUCUCUCCGACGUGAUCUCCUUUGUUCACCUCUCUCUGAUCUCGUUUUCAGUGGUUUUUCUCAUUGAUGAUCUGGGAGAUUGGAAGUUUUUGGCAUUUCAGCUGUUUGGGUUUGGACAGCUAUCUGGUCCAUCUGGUUCAGGGAAGGAUUGAUGUACUCCAUUGAAUUAUGAUGUCCCUCAAAAGCAUUGUGCGUGAGCUGAGGGAAAUGAAGGGUGGAAUUGGAAGCAUGUCAAGACGAGGGGUUGAAGGGAAGCAUUGGCAUGGCAGGGCAAGGUCGCAUAUUGCACCCGAUGAAACACCACCUGAAUCUGAACCAAUUCAACAGGGCCAGUGGGCAAAUCUGCCACCAGAAUUGCUCUUGGAUAUCAUUAGGAGGGUAGAAGAGAGUGAGAUCUCUUGGCCUGCUCGUGCUGUUGUUGUUUCUUGUGCUUUGGUUUGUAGGUUGUGGAGGGAAAUCACAAAGGAAGUUGUUAGAACUCCUGAGCAAUGUGGGAGGCUAACAUUUCCCAUCUCGUUGAAGCAGCCGGGUCCUCGUGAGUCUCCCAUACAGUGCUUUAUUAAGAGAGAUACUGCAACUUCCACUUAUCUAUUGUACUGUGGUCUGGUGCCUUGUAAGUCAUGCUACCCUCUCUUUUAUUUUAUCUUUUCAAUGAUGGCAUUGGCAAUUUAGACUUUUUGCUAUUCAUGCCAUUUUUGCUAAGUUAUUCAUAUAUAUGCCUUAUAAGAAAUGUAUAAGAACGUUUUUCUGCAAUUAUUUGUCUGUCUGGGCACUUGCUGAUAUCUAUGGCUGCUGGAAUUUACAUGUGAUUGUUCUUAUGCACCUCCUGUAUUGAUUGACAUUUCAAUAAUUCUUUUGGAUUGAAAAUUUGGGGAACUCAAUGUACCAUUUAUUUAAAUAUAAAUAUAUAUUAAUUUUUCAUCAUUUUUAAUGGUUUGACAGCUGAGAAUGAGCGUGAUAAAUUGCUAUUAGCUGCCAGAAAGGUCAGAAGAGCAACAUGCACAGACUUCAUUAUAUCUUUGGUCGAAGAUGAUUUUUCUCGAGCCAGCAACACAUAUGUUGGUAAACUGAGGUCUAAUUUUCUAGGAACCAAGUUCACCAUGUUUGAUUGCCAACCUACAUGUGAAGUGCCAGUACAACCAGCUAGCCAGACACAUCGAAGAUUCCAUUCUAGGCAGGUGUCUCCAAAAUUACCUGCAUGUAAUUACAGUAUAGGCACCAUCACCUAUGAGCUCAAUGUUCUCCGCACGAGAGGGCCAAGGAGAAUGCAUUGCGUCAUGCAUUCAAUUCCCAUCUCUUCCAUUGAGGAGGGGGGCUCCGCCCCAACGCCAACAUCCUUCCCAGAGACUUUUGAUGAUAGAUUAUCUCUCUCAGCAGGUCCAAAAGGGAAGGAACCAGUCUUGAAUGUCAGUUCUGGAAGCCCGUCACAGUCUCCAGUAAUAGUCCAUGGCUCUAGAGAGCCCCUAGUUCUUAAAAACAAGGCCCCCAGAUGGCAUGAACAGCUACAGUGCUGGUGCCUGAAUUUCAGAGGGCGUGUUACUGUUGCUUCCGUUAAGAAUUUUCAACUUGUGGCUGCUAUUGAGCCAUCCCACAAUGUUCCAGCUGAAGAGCAAGAGAAGGUGAUCUUGCAGUUUGGAAAAAUUGGAAAAGACAUCUUCACAAUGGAUUAUCGCUACCCCCUUUCUGCCUUCCAAGCCUUUGCCAUCUGCCUCAGCAGCUUUGACACCAAACCAGCCUGUGAAUGAUAAAUGUAGUGCCUGAAUAUAUCUACCAUAGUUUGCGGAAUUGCUUCCUCCAGUUUUGAAAUGCAAGUGCAGUCUAUGUGUAGCUCUUCAUGCAUGAGCAUUCACAACUGAUCUUAGCUGCAUAAUCCUUACUUUUUCUUAUCAUGGAAUUUGACUUGUAUUUUGUUUCAUCAUCUUAACGCUAAU